CAGCAAGUGAACAGUUACUUCUUUGUAUGUGUUGGAAGCAAGAAAAAUGGGCAAGCAAAAAGAUACGAAUGACUUUGACAAGGGGCGAAAAGUGAUAACUAGCAUCUCCAAAACGGCAAGUCUUGUGGUGUGUUUCCGGUAUACAGUGGUUAGAACCUACCAAAAAUGGUGCAAGGAAGGACAAUUUGUGAACUGGUAUUAGUGUCAUGGGGGUGCACGGGGGGCUGCGAAAGCUAGUCCAACUAUCCGAUCACACAGAAGAGCUAACGUAGCUCGAAUUGCAUAAAAACGUAAUACUGGCCAUGAUAAAAAGGUGUCUGAAUACACGGUGCACUAUAGUAUG